rnacentral:rRNA from 1 species
ACACAAAAAUGCACAUACUGUGAGCUCGAUGAGUAGGGCGGGACACGUGGUAUCCUGUCUGAAUAUGGGGGGACCAUCCUCCAAGGCUAAAUACUCCUGACUGACCGAUAGUGAACCAGUACCGUGAGGGAAAGGCGAAAAGAACCCCGGCGAGGGGAGUGAAAAAGAACCUGAAACCGUGUACGUACAAGCAGUGGGAGCACGCUUAGGCGUGUGACUGCGUACCUUUUGUAUAAUGGGUCAGCGACUUAUAUUCUGUAGCAAGGUUAACCGAAUAGGGGAGCCGAAGGGAAACCGAGUCUUAACUGGGCGUUAAGUUGCAGGGUAUAGACCCGAAACCCGGUGAUCUAGCCAUGGGCAGGUUGAAGGUUGGGUAACACUAACUGGAGGACCGAACCGACUAAUGUUGAAAAAUUAGCGGAUGACUUGUGGCUGGGGGUGAAAGGCCAAUCAAACCGGGAGAUAGCUGGUUCUCCCCGAAAGCUAUUUAGGUAGCGCCUCGUGAAUUCAUCUCCGGGGGUAGAGCACUGUUUCGGCAAGGGGGUCAUCCCGACUUACCAACCCGAUGCAAACUGCGAAUACCGGAGAAUGUUAUCACGGGAGACACACGGCGGGUGCUAACGUCCGUCGUGAAGAGGGAAACAACCCAGACCGCCAGCUAAGGUCCCAAAGUCAUGGUUAAGUGGGAAACGAUGUGGGAAGGCCCAGACAGCCAGGAUGUUGGCUUAGAAGCAGCCAUCAUUUAAAGAAAGCGUAAUAGCUCACUGGUCGAGUCGGCCUGCGCGGAAGAUGUAACGGGGCUAAACCAUGCACCGAAGCUGCGGCAGCGACGCUGAUGCGUUGUUGGGUAGGGGAGCGUUCUGUAAGCCUGUGAAGGUGUGCUGUGAGGCAUGCUGGAGGUAUUAGAAGUGCGAAUGCUGACAUAAGUAACGAUAAAGCGGGUGAAAAGCCCGCUCGCCGGAAGACCAAGGGUUCCUGUCCAACGUUAAUCGGGGCAGGGUGAGUCGACCCCUAAGGCGAGGCCGAAAGGCGUAGUCGAUGGGAAACAGGUUAAUAUUCCUGUACUUGGUGUUACUGCGAAGGGGGGACGGAGAAGGCUAUGUUGGCCGGGCGACGGUUGUCCCGGUUUAAGCGUGUAGGCUGGUUUUCCAGGCAAAUCCGGAAAAUCAAGGCUGAGGCGUGAUGACGAGGCACUACGGUGCUGAAGCAACAAAUGCCCUGCUUCCAGGAAAAGCCUCUAAGCAUCAGGUAACAUCAAAUCGUACCCCAAACCGACACAGGUGGUCAGGUAGAGAAUACCAAGGCGCUUGAGAGAACUCGGGUGAAGGAACUAGGCAAAAUGGUGCCGUAACUUCGGGAGAAGGCACGCUGAUAUGUAGGUGAAGUCCCUCGCGGAUGGAGCUGAAAUCAGUCGAAGAUACCAGCUGGCUGCAACUGUUUAUUAAAAACACAGCACUGUGCAAACACGAAAGUGGACGUAUACGGUGUGACGCCUGCCCGGUGCCGGAAGGUUAAUUGAUGGGGUCAGCGCAAGCGAAGCUCUUGAUCGAAGCCCCGGUAAACGGCGGCCGUAACUAUAACGGUCCUAAGGUAGCGAAAUUCCUUGUCGGGUAAGUUCCGACCUGCACGAAUGGCGUAAUGAUGGCCAGGCUGUCUCCACCCGAGACUCAGUGAAAUUGAACUCGCUGUGAAGAUGCAGUGUACCCGCGGCAAGACGGAAAGACCCCGUGAACCUUUACUAUAGCUUGACACUGAACAUUGAGCCUUGAUGUGUAGGAUAGGUGGGAGGCUUUGAAGUGUGGACGCCAGUCUGCAUGGAGCCGGCCUUGAAAUACCACCCUUUAAUGUUUGAUGUUCUAACGUUGACCCGU